rnacentral:rRNA from 1 species
CCUACGGGAGGCAGCAGUGAGGAAUAUUGGUCAAUGGACGAGAGUCUGAACCAGCCAAGUAGCGUGAAGGAUGACUGCCCUAUGGGUUGUAAACUUCUUUUAUAUGGGAAUAAAACGUUCCACGUGUGGGAUUUUGUAUGUACCAUAUGAAUAAGGAUCGGCUAACUCCGUGCCAGCAGCCGCGGUAAUACGGAGGAUCCGAGCGUUAUCCGGAUUUAUUGGGUUUAAAGGGGGCGUAGGUGGAUUGUUAAGGCAGUUGUGAAAGUUGGCGGCUCAACCGUAGAAGUGCAGUUGAAACUGGCAGUCUUGAGUACAGUAGAGGUAGGCGGAAUUCGUGGUGUAGCGGUGAAAUGCUUAGAUAUCACGAAGAACUCCGAUUGCGAAGGCAGUUCACUGGACUGCAACUGACACUGAGGCUCGAAAGUGUGGGUAUCAAACAGGAUUAGAUACCCCUGUAGUC